rnacentral:tRNA from 1 species
UCCGGGAUGGUGUAAUGGUAGCACAAGUGACUCUGGAUCAUUCGGUCUGGGUUCGAGUCCUAGUCCCGGAG